rnacentral:rRNA from 1 species
UACGAAGGGGGGCUAGCGUUGCUCGGAAUCACUGGGCGUAAAGGGUGCGUAGGCGGGUUUUUAAGUCAGGGGUGAAAUCCCGGGGCUCAACCUCGGAAUUGCCUUCGAUACUGUUAGUCUUGAGUCCGGGAGAGGUGAGUGGAAUUCCUAGUGUAGAGGUGAAAUUCGUAGAUAUUAGGAAGAACACCGGUGGCGAAGGCGGCCCACUGGAUCGGUACUGACGCUGAGGUGCGAAAGCGUGGGGAGCAAACAGG